UACGUAGGGGGCAAGCGUUGUCCGGAAUCAUUGGGCGUAAAGAGCGUGUAGGCGGCCAGAUAAGUCCGCUGUGAAAUCUCGAGGCUCAACUUCGAGCUGUCGGUGGAAACUGUCUGGCUAGAGUCCGGAAGAGGAGAAUGGAAUUCCUGGUGUAGCGGUGAAAUGCGCAGAUAUCAGGAAGAACACCAAUGGCGAAGGCAGCUCGCUGGGACGGUACUGACGCUGAGACGCGAAAGCGUGGGGAGCAAACAGG
rnacentral:rRNA from 1 species